ACAUGCGACCACACCCACUGGAGAACUCGGGAUCCCGUCCGCUCUCCCAUCGAUNNNNAAACCAGUGAGGGCCGGAGUAGUAGUUGGGUCGGUGACGACCAGCGAAUGCCCGGUGUUGCAUGUU
rnacentral:rRNA from 1 species